rnacentral:rRNA from 1 species
GACAGAGGGUGCAAACGUUGUUCGGAAUUACUGGGCGUAAAGCUAGUGUAGGCGGUUUCCUAAGUCAGUUGUGAAAGCCCCGGGCUCAACCCGGGAAGUGCACUUGAAACUGGGAGGCUAGAGUAUCGGAGAGGUUGGUGGAAUUCUCGGUGUAGAGGUGAAAUUCGUAGAUAUCGAGAGGAAUACCGGUGGCGAAGGCGGCAUCCUGGACCGGCAUUGACGCUGAGGAGCGAAAGCCAGGGGAGCAAACGGG